rnacentral:rRNA from 1 species
UCGAGGAUCUUCGGCAAUGGGCGCAAGCCUGACCGAGCGACGCCGCGUGCGCGAUGAAGGCCUUCGGGUUGUAAAGCGCUGUCGUGGAGGAGGAAGCCCCGCAAGGGGUUGACCUAUUCCAGGAGGAAGCACGGGCUAAGUUCGUGCCAGCAGCCGCGGUAAGACGAACCGUGCAAACGUUGUUCGGAAUCACUGGGCUUAAAGGGCGCGUAGGCGGGAGACCAAGUCCGGGGUGAAAUCUUUCGGCUUAACCGGAAAAGGGCCUUGGAUACUGGUUUUCUGGAGGGAGGUAGGGGCAUGUGGAACUUCUGGUGGAGCGGUGAAAUGCGUUGAUAUCAGAAGGAACGCCGGUGGCGAAAGCGACGUGCUGGACCUCUUCUGACGCUGAUGCGCGAAAGCCAGGGGAGCAAACGG